rnacentral:rRNA from 1 species
GAUGAACGCUGGCGGCGUGCCUAAUACAUGCCAGUCGAGCGAACAGACGAGGAGCUUGCUCCUCUGACGUUAGCGGCGGACGGGUGAGUAACACGUGGAUAACCUACCUAUAAGACUGGGAUAACUUCGGGAAACCGGAGCUAAUACCGGAUAAUAUAUUGAACCGCAUGGUUCAAUAGUGAAAGACGGUUUUGCUGUCACUUAUAGAUGGAUCCGCGCCGCAUUAGCUAGUUGGUAAGGUAACGGCUUACCAAGGCAACGAUGCGUAGCCGACCUGAGAGGGUGAUCGGCCACACUGGAACUGAGACACGGUCCAGACUCCUACGGGAGGCAGCAGUAGGGAAUCUUCCGCAAUGGGCGAAAGCUUGACGGAGCAACGCCGCGUGAGUGAUGAAGGUCUUCGGAUCGUAAAACUCUGUUAUUAGGGAAGAACAAAUGUGUAAGUAACUAUGCACGUCUUGACGGUACCUAAUCAGAAAGCCACGGCUGACUACGUG